GCUGGCCGAUGAUAACGUCAUCGCAGACGUAUAGGCAUGAGGCACUUGGGCACUGACCAAACGAUACUUUAGUACGAUACACUUAUCGCAUAACGACGUUCAUGUUCUAAUCAUAUGAUGAGAUGGUUUCGUAACUAUAGGGUUAUUCAUCUAUCUUAUAGCAGGGAGUUGAUAGAAAGUGCAUAAACAAAACGUUACGGAAAAUAGCUUCGGUUUCGUUUUAGGUCAGUAAUUUUUUUGAUACGCAUUGUGGAUGGCUGGCUUCGAAAAUGAGUGUUGAAUUUUUUUUCCGAAUUUUGGCGGAUGCCUACGAGACUUGGAACUACAUAUCUUAGUUUUUCAGAUGCCAUGAUUUAGAGAUUUGUCUACUAAAAAGAUAUAUUGGUCAGUUCUGACAGAGAGCAGCGCCAAUUCCUCGAUUCCACAUCGGUUCAUCCUUUAAAAUUGAACUGAGGAGAGAACGGCCAGAAAUAACCACCACCGAGUGUACCAAGGAAAGGGAGGGAUUUUUCUCCAUAUAUUUGAGGAUUUCUAAAAUUUCCCUAGUACAUAACAGAGUUGACGGGACAAUAGUUAAAGAUUUUCAAAAAUGAAGAUUUUCAAAAUGAAUUCCGAGAUUUACGAAAUAGGUAAUUUUUUUAAAUGGGAGUUGUAAGUGUUUGCAUAUUCAAGAAGGCACAAAUUUCUACAUUUUUUACUAUCCAUAACUUUAUCUUUUUUUUUCUAUUUAAAAGACCAAAUUGAAAAUUUUAUGUUACAUAAGUAAUGAAUAAAAUGAUUCAAAAUAGUGCGAAAAUAGUCGGAAAUGGGAUUUUAAAAAAAUGAUUAAUCUCAAUAGAGCAGAAAUUUUGAGGUCAAAACAAGUAAAAUCAACAAAAUAUUCAAAAAUACAUACAUACAUCAACUAGAAAAAUUCCAGGAGCCGAAAAACAUCAUAUGAUUUUUAGAAACUACUGUUCAUCGGAUUACUGAUCUCAAUGCUGCAUAAUACAAAUCAACUUGAGCUGCUAAGAGUUAAGGGAAUGAUAGUUUUUGAGGUCCUUAUUCGAUUUACACAAGUUUUGUUCCAAUCGGUGAGCCCAAUGUGAAAGAGUUUCCCUGUUAGAUUUCGAAAGAAUGGACCGUCCCUAUGGCAAAACAUGUUAAAAAUUGGUACCUAUAAAAGUGUAAAAUAAUUAUACUGAUUUUUUUAGAAUGAAAUUUUUGUCAAUUUUCAAAUUAAUCAAAGCCACCUCCCCCCGCCCAAACAAAACAAAUUGAACUUUGAAGCAUUUGAAGUGGGAUUUUUCACAGUGUUAAAUUUAAUAUCCUUUCGCAAAAAAAAGUCAAAAAUUUAAUUAAAAAAUGCGACAAUCCCUCCCCCCUUCCUCAAGAGAUAUUGUUUCUGGAAAAAAAAUCGAAAAUAAAAACCACUUUGAACCGAUUCAACUGUUUUACUUAGCUACCUAUAUACAGUAUACAGGUAUAGUCGUUUUCUGAUUUUCUGAUAAGUGAUAACCUUAAUGAUAUUUGGCUCACAGUUUGUAAAUAUUUUGAUGGAUUUUUACAAGGUCAAUAAGUAGUUUACAUGUUUUCACUCUACAUUCAAACACCAAUUUUCAAUCUAUUUUGUGGAUUUAUCCACUUAGAUAGGCAAGGCAUCAAUGACAUUUUUGAACCCAACAGCUCAAUGCUCAUCUAUUUUCAAAAUGUCUGUAUCCGAUUUUCAGCACGAACACCCAACUUACCUAAGCCAAUUUUAGUUACCCAUUUUAGGAAAAUUCACGAAAAUUUUAGCGUGCCCCAUUUCCCUACAUUCUUGUAUUUUAUCUCAAUGUUUUUCAAAUCAAUUUUUGCACCUAAUCAAGAUGUUCUAUUUACCUUGAAAGUAAAACUAAAAUAAAAUUCAUAAUUUUGCAGUAAUUGGUAUUUGGCACCCGAUCGUUAAUUAUUUAUUUAAAUUAAUCGCAUUAAUUUCUAAGUACUAAUUUUUCUGAUAUCUUUUAUUUCGUUACUCGUUAGUCCAAUCAGAACUGAAAACUGGGUCACUUUAUUUUUAUUUUUACAUAGAUAUAUUUUUUAUUGACCUACAUUUUAUAACGAAUCUGCCCCAGAUUUGUUCAAUAAUCGAAUUAAGUUUAAAAGUUCAUUUAUCAUGUUCAAAAGUGCAUGUGUAUUUUAGAUUAAAAAAUACGAAUAGGUUCAAUAUAAUAUUUUGGGUGUUUUGAAAUGGAAAAUUUCCAUUUUUUUUAGCCCUUGAAUAUUUUCAGAAUAAUUACGCUAGAUACUUGCUAACACUUGUGUAAUAGGAACAAUAUACAAUAGCGUACUUUCAGUAUAAGGUACUUUUCCAAUAAAAAAAAACAAUUUUUUAUCACUAGUAAGAGCACUAAUCUAAGCCGUGACUACAGAAUGAUAACAUAUGAUAUGCUACCUAGUACUUAGUAGGUACCUACAGUGACUCGAAUUUUAAGAUUCGAAGAUGAUUGUUCACGUCGUCGUAUUGCUUCAAUACAAUGAACAAUAGGUACGUGUUAAAACAUGAAUUUUAGGUAAAUAAUAAAAAAGUGAAAUGAAAAAUUCCUUGCUUUCUGCUACUGAAACGUUAAAAUUUGAAUAAACGAACCAUUCAAGAGCAAAGAAACAUUGGUACUCAUAGAUGCGAAAAUUACAGCACAUUAUUCUUAACUUACGAAAUGUUUUUCAUUUUAUACACAUGUAAGAUAGGUAAGUAUAUUUUUCAAAAUUUAAUCGCGGCCAUGAAAUAAGAUGAGCUUCAGAAUGAACAUGACGUAAAUAUUUCGUACCUAUUUAACUACCCAUAAGUAAGUAUAGAAUAAUUUGAAAAUCUUGCUCAAAUUGUUAAAUUAAACCAAUACAAAUUGCUGCUCGUGUUUUUAGGGAUACCUGCCAACUGAAUGACGUUUGAAUGAGUAAAUCAGAAUGAUAGUAAAACUUACAUAUAUCGAGCAACUUGUACGCAAGUUAAGUGGAAACCAGUUUCUUGAAAUUACAUUUCCAACUUUGACGUCACUUUUAAACGCAUGUAGUAAAAAUUAAGGCGAAAUAAUGGAUCACAUUUUCUACCAUUGCGUCGAUAUGAGAAUUUUACAUUUAAUUACCAGUAUUACAUUUUUAAUGAUUUUUUUUACAGUCGGUAUGAUUUGAAAUGAACAGACGAGGAAAUUUCAUUAACACUGUGCAAAGGACACGAGAAAAUUGAAAAAAAUUACAUUUUCAAGCAUAGGCAGGUAUUUAUAACUGGACGGAAAAUGAUUGGUGAGAACUGAGAACAUGUGUAGUUAAACGGAAAAAUUCUGGCUUUUUCCUUUCUUAUUAGAGGACAAUAGAUGUAAAAGUUGAUAAAAGAGCAAAAACGUUCUCAAAUGAAGACUAUCCAUAAGUACACAUAGGUUAUUACUAAUUCUUUAAAAAGAAUUGAGUCCGAGGAGUGAAAAACCAAAUUGAAAAUUUAUAUAUUAUGUAACCAAAUACACCUAUACCGAUAGGUACUUAUUACUUGUACUUACCUACUUACUUCUUAGGUAGGUAGAGGCACUCUCUCUUUUAAAAAAAGGCUCGGAGAGAGGUUUGAGCAGUAAGUCCAUCAAAAAUUAAGCAAAGUUUGAUAACAUAUUUUCGUUUUUACCAAGUUUGCAAGUUGAAAAGGCAGUGAAUAGAUUUUGAAAAAUGAAAAAAAGUACGAUACAUAAUUUGUAAAAUAAACCCGAAAAUUGAUGGUUCGAAAUCCAUUCGUAGCCUUUUUAAUUUGAAAGUUAGACAAAAAAUCAUCCAAUCAAAUUAUGUUUACCUACUUCUUAAAUGUGUAUACUGUUGCAACUCCCUUCUUGUUAACACUUAAACGUUGACUUAAGUUUAAGUCAACGUUUAAGUAUUCAUCAAAAAAGAUUCUUCCUCUCACCCUAAAAAAAACAACAUUGUAGGAUUUUUUUUCACGUAUUCAUUGUUUUGAGGUAAGAUUUGUAAAAUAUCUGCUACCUUCACUUCAAAUUAGAUAAUAAAAUGAAACUUUUAAAUUCGCGAUCUAAAAUUGUUGAUUUACAUGUAACACGAAUAAUGCCUCUCCUCAAGCAUAGCUUGGGUAGCUCAGUUGAUAGAGCACUAGGAACGACAUGAAUCAUCAUUGAAUUCAUGACCAUGUCAUAAACUACAGCAAUGUACAAACCUCGUUUGUUAAUCUAGGGGUCCAGGGUUCGAAUCCCUGUCCAAGCAUUUUCUUUUUUUUUUUUGUUAAAUGAAAAUUAAUAAUUUCAACUCGCAAAUUUCUAAAUUCAAUUCAAUUGUUUUCAAUUUCUAGCAACAAUUUUUUAAUACCUACAAUUACUUUUGUAAAUAACAAGUAAUCGGACGUAGAAAAAUAAUUUUAAAAAAUCAUUAGCAUUAAAGUUUUUUCAAAGAUGAUUUUCUCAGAUCUUCAAAAAUCUCAUAAAGCUUGAAAUAAGUUUGCUCUGUGGUACCAAAAACCUGUAUCAUACCUAUAGGUACCUACUUAGGCCUACUGAAUGUUAUUCGGUGAUUUGAAAAACAACGCGUCAGAAAAACACCAGACAUUGCUGAUUUAUAGAGAACAAUUUUCUUUUAAUUGUGUUUAAAAAAAUGUAAUUCGAAAACAAAUGUUUCAAAUUACUGGAUAAAGCAUGUAAUUAAAUCGACAGAAAAACUUAUUGUUUUACCUCAUACUCGUCGGUCUUGCUGAUUAAAGCGCGCAAUCAUUCAGUGCAAAAUAUACCUUCGUAAGAAUAUACGAGUGUAGGUACGUAUGUGCUUGCUUACUCUAAAUCAAUGACGCAAUGUUUUUCAUAACUUAAUGAAGUAAAUUAUUAUUUGCAGAAAAAAACUUCGCGAAAAUGCAUCUCGGUACGAUUUAUUCAAGUACAGGUUCUUAAUAAUGUUUAAUGAUUUCAAAUUUUGAACUUCAUCGUCGUUAUGGUUCAAAAUUGCAAACUAAAAAAAAAAAAAAAAAAAAAAAAAAAAAAAAAGUGUUAU